rnacentral:rRNA from 1 species
UACGGAGGGUGCAAGCGUUAUCCGGAUUCACUGGGUUUAAAGGGUGCGUAGGAGGACUGGUAAGUCAGUGGUGAAAUCCCCGAGCUUAACUUGGGAACUGCCGUUGAUACUAUCAGUCUUGAAUGUUGUGGAGGUAAGCGGAAUAUGUCAUGUAGCGGUGAAAUGCUUAGAUAUGACAUAGAACACCUAUUGCGAAGGCAGCUUACUACGCAGAUAUUGACGCUCAUGCACGAAAGCGUGGGGAUCAAACAGG